UACGUAGGAGACGAGCGUUGUCCGGAAUUACUGGGCGUAAAGCGUGUGCAGGCGGCUCUUCGCGUCGGCGGUGAAAUCUCCCGGCUCAACUGGGAGGGGGCAACCGAAACGGAAGGGCUUGAGGGUUGAAGAGGAAAGUAGAACUCCCGGUGGAGCAGUGAAAUGUGUAGAGAUCGGGAAGAAUACCAGUGGCGAAGGCGGCUUUCUGGCCAACACCUGACGCUCAUCCACGAGAGCUUGGGGAGCAAACAGG
rnacentral:rRNA from 1 species